GAGUUCCCUGAAUUUUUUUUGUAGAAUUCAAAACACUCGUCACGUACCUAAAAAUACCUCAAAAAUUUAAAAUUGAUGUGUAAAACUCUUUUCGGCCAAAUUUGGGGUUUCAGCACGACUGUGCCACCGUGCUCCGACACUUGCUCUGCUGCCACGAUGGCAGUCUACCUCAGCUAGGCUGGAUUUUGGCUAGUUUUGGCCGGCUUUAUAUGUAUCCUUGCGAAAAAAUACGUUAUGAGGUCUUAGU
rnacentral:lncRNA from 1 species